AUCUGUGAAAUGGGGGUAACAGCAGCAGUUGUUUGGAAGGGCAACGGCGAGGAUGGAACGGAGCAGAGAGGCAAAAGUCUGGUUGGUUGCUCCCUGGUGCUCAGAGAACCAGCCCUCACUGCCUCUCUUCCUGUCUCUUCCUCCCAGUGUGGCCUGUGUCGCCGAGGUCCUCAGCUUGUCCCUCUUACUGGCUUGCUGGGUAACCUCAGGCAAGUAACUUUCCCACCUUGAGCCUCAGUUUCCCAAUCUGUAAAAGGAGCUGUUAAACUAGAUGGCCUCUGAGAAGCACCCAGGUGGAAAGCCUGGGCUCACAGGAACCCAAGCGGCCCAGGUGUCCCACCCAGCAGGCCCCUGGGGCCGGAGGACCUGAGGGCCUGCACCUCCUCACCCCCAGGGCCAUGGUGCGAUACUCCUGCCAGGACCGGUGCCGCUUCCUCUACCUUCUCAUCCCUCUCCUGGAGCACGGUGACAAGAAGCACAAGAUCACUGCCACCGCCUUCUUCGUGGAGCCCUCAGGGACGUCUGUUCUACUUUCUGCCGCUGUUUGUGUGUUCUGGCUUCUUCGUGCAAGCGGCCCAUUUGUGCUUGUGCUUGGCUAUUUCAUUAUAUCGUCAAGGCUGUCUCCUCCAGAUGAAGAAGGUGCGGCGGAUCCCCGAGGUAUACUCUCUGGGUCGGAUGGUGGAAGGCCUGGGCCACCAAGACCCUGUCAUGAAGGUGCUGUCCAUCCGGGGCCUGAUGAUUCUGGUCCGCAGGUCGGAGAAGAUGGCCAAGGUGCAGGCCCUGUUGCCCUCCAUGGUGAAGGCCCUGAAGAGCCUGGAUGGGGUGCUGGUGAUGGAGGCAGUCGACAGCCUCAAGACCAUCUUCAAGGGGCAGGACCGGAAGCAGAGGGACAGCUCGGUCUAUGUGGGGGAGCUGCUUGCCCUGCUGCCACACUUCAGUGAUUCCAGAGAGGACGUGCGCUCCUCCUGCAUCAACAUGUACGGGAAGGUGGUCCAGAAGCUUCGGGGACCCUGCACCCAGGCCAUGGAGGAGCAGCUGAUCCACACGUUGGUGCCACUCCUGCUGACCAUGCAGGAGGGCAGUGCCAAGGUGGGCGAGAAGUGUGUGAAGACCCUGUUCCACUGUUCUUGCCUUAUGGGUUGGGAGUUGCCCAAGACAGCUUUUAGCCGGAAGCCCUGGGACAACAGGCAGCAGGCAGUGGGCAAAAUCUGCAAGUACCUGGUGAGUGGUUCCUUCUGAGUAUAUUGAGGCAGGGUCCCUCCCUCCCCUUUCCUGCUUUUCACAUCAGUAUCCUGACGCAGGUUCCACUCCACAGUGGACACCUCUGAUGGCCCACAGGCACUUCAAGCUGGUGUGUCCCUUUUGAACAUACGGCCUUCCCUUUCACUUCUGCUCUGUCCCUCUGGGUCCUGAAGGCAGAAACCUAGAAUCAUCCUGGACUCCUUUUUCUCCUCACCUUCCACAUCUGAGCAAUCCUAAAAAUCCUAAGGAUCUCUGGAUCUGUUUCUCCAUCCCCAUCCCCACUGUCUUUGCCCUUCGGUCAGGCCAUGGAUGUGUCUCAGGUGAGCCACGGGUCCAGCCAGCCAAUGGGUCUCCAGCCUUUAAUUUCAUCCUCUGCAACCCAUUCCUCAUCCAGACCACCGAGGUGGUCUUCUAAAAACACUGUGAAUGGUGCUAAGGAUGGAACCAGGACCUCGCACAUGCGAGGCAUGUGCUCCACGGCUAGUCACAUCCCUGGGACGCAGCCAGUCUACGGUGUAUCCCUGCAUAAAGGGUCAUGCUGGCUCCCUUGUCUGCAACAGCAAUUGCCAGGAUAUGUUCCCUGGAAGGCGAGGCUCACCAGCUCAUGGGAGGGCACACAAAGGAUAAACAAGCAUGGGAAAGGUGGCAUGCUCACCUUCCUCCUGCUGAUUUGCAGUGGUAUUGGCACAGUAAGGGCUCUGCUGAGAAAGUGUGCUUGUGGUUAUUGAAUUCAUGGUUUCCCAGACUCAGUUAACCACAGAAACACUUUCUAGGUGACCCCUGUGAACAGCCUGAGGCAGGAGCAAGCCACACACACACACACACACACACACACACACACACACACACAGAGUGAAGUAUGGCACCAUGGCAGACAGAGCAUGCAGCAAGUUUUGCCGUCUGGCCCCACUUUCCUUUCCCUGUUGUCAACGGCCAGAUGGGAUUAGCGAGGAAGGUUUGGAGGGAGCUCCAAUGGCAUCAUUACCUGUGGAAGGGGACAGGUGGGGAGAAUUGGGGCUAUUGUGUCAUUUCAGGCAGUCUCAGCCAACCUGCCAGGAGAAUCCCAAACUGAGGCCAGGGGUCAGGCCAUUAUUGUUUGUGUUUGUUUGUUCUUUUGGGACAAGGUCUUGCUGUGUUGGCCAGGCUGGCCCUGAACUCCUGGACUGAAGUCGCUGGUACUAGAGGAACCUGCCGUGAUGCAUGGAUGGGUCAGGUCUUUACACUCUGGGCUCACCUGUCACUAGCUGCCAGCCAUCCUGGGAAGAGACAUGGCCAGGAGUCAGGCAGUUCUGGCCAGUCCAGCAAUCUCCAUAGCUGGGGGAAGAAAUCCUUCCCACCUGAAGGGAGACCCAAAGGUGGGCAUCUAUCACCCCACCUGGACCCAAAAUAAAUAUAGAAAGGAGCAGGCUGUUAGAGAACUGAGAAAUGGGCUUGGCCAUGCUGCUGUCAGCCAUGCUUGAAGUCUUGAUUGAGUGCCUAAAACUACUGUCUGUGCUUCACAGAGGGCAAAACAGGCUUGGAGGGGGUGUUUGGCCAGGGUUGCUAGUUCCCAUAUUGAUAAUGGCUGGUGACCAGGCAGUGGUCUAAUGACAUGGCUUAUUGGGCCUGUGAGCUGGGCGUGACUGUAGCCCCACGGCAGGCAGGAGUAGAGAGCUCCACUCAUCAUGCAGGUCCUUCUUGAUAGGCCCUCCUGUUUCACAAGAAAAGUGUAGCUAUUAGCUCUCCACUGCUAAAGCAAAAUCCCCGACAUCCACAAUUUAAAGGAGGAAAGAUUUCAUCUGGCUUAGUUUUAGAAGUUUCAGUCCAUGCUUGGCUGGCUAUAUUGCUUUUCAGAUGGUGAGGCAGAAACAUCAUGGUGGAUAGCUGGGCAUGGUGGUGGCACAUGCCUAUGAUCCCAGCACUUGGGAGGCUGAGGCAGGAGGAUCACUGUGAAUUCAAAGCCAGCCUGGGCUACAUACUGAGUUCAAGGCCAGCCUGAACUAUGUAGCAAGACCCUGUCUCACAGAAAAAGGAAGAAAGAAAGCUCAUGGUGGAAGGACAUGGUGGAGGAAGCAGGGAGGGAAGGAAACAGCUAGAGAGACAGGAUGGGACUGGGGACGGUAUGUAGCUUUCUUUUUUUUUCGGUACUGGGGAUUGAACUCGGGACCUUGUGCUUUUGAGGCAGGCAGCG
rnacentral:lncRNA from 1 species